rnacentral:rRNA from 1 species
GACGAACCGUGCGAACGUUGUUCGGAAUCAUUGGGCUUAAAGGGCGCGUAGGCGGGCUAGCAAGUCGAGGGGUGAAAGCCCACGGCUCAACCGUGGAAGUGCCUUUGAUACUGCCAGCUGGAGGGAGGUAGGGGCGUGCGGAACUUCCGGUGGAGCGGUGAAAUGCGUAGAUAUCGGAAGGAACACCGGUGGCGAAAGGCGGCGCGCUGGACCUCUUCGUGACGCUGAGGCGCGAAAGCCAGGGGAGCGAACGGG